rnacentral:tRNA from 4 species
GCCCCUGUAGCUCAGUCGGUAGAGCAGCUGACUCUUAAUCAGCGGGUCCAAGGUUCGAGCCCUUGCGGGGGCAC